UACGGAGGGUGCAAGCGUUAUCCGGAUUCACUGGGUUUAAAGGGAGCGUAGGUGGGUUGGUAAGUCAGUGGUGAAAUCCCCGAGCUUAACUUGGGAACUGCCAUUGAUACUAUCAUUCUUGAAUAUUGUGGAGGUCAGCGGAAUAUGUCAUGUAGCGGUGAAAUGCUUAGAUAUGACAUAGAACACCAAUUGCGAAGGCAGCUGGCUACACAUAUAUUGACACUGAGGCACGAAAGCGUGGGGAUCAAACAGG
rnacentral:rRNA from 1 species